CGCCCCAAAUCAAUGGGCAAAGAGACAUUUUGUUGGUGUUGUUGUUCUUAUAUCAGUGAGGGACAGAGCAAUGGCAGUCCUUUGUUCAUCCUAGCUUUAUUCCUCGCUUGGUGGCCAAAGCCAUUUUAUGCCUAGGACACAUGA